GAUGAACGCUAGCGGCAGGCUUAAUACAUGCAAGUCGAGGGGCAGCAGUCCCGCAGCAAUGCGGGAGCUGGCGACCGGCAAACGGGUGCGGAACACGUACAGAACCUUCCUUCGAGCGGGGAAUAGCCCAGAGAAAUUUGGAUUAAUACCCCAUAGCAUUACGAAGUGGCAUCACUUUGUAAUUAAAGAUUUAUCACUCGAAGAUGGCUGUGCGGCUGAUUAGGUAGUUGGCGGAGUAACGGCCCACCAAGCCUUCGAUCAGUAACUGGUGUGAGAGCACGACCAGUCACACGGGCACUGAGACACGGGCCCGACUCCUACGGGAGGCAGCAGUAAGGAAUAUUGGUCAAUGGACGAAAGUCUGAACCAGCAUGCCGCGUGGAGGAUGAAGGUCCUCUGGAUU
rnacentral:rRNA from 1 species